UACGUAGGGAGCAAGCGUUAUCCGGAUUUACUGGGUGUAAAGGGAGCGUAGGCGGACUUUUAAGUGAGAUGUGAAAUACCCGGGCUCAACUUGGGUGCUGCAUUUCAAACUGGAAGUCUAGAGUGCAGGAGAGGAGAAUGGAAUUCCUAGUGUAGCGGUGAAAUGCGUAGAGAUUAGGAAGAACACCAGUGGCGAAGGCGAUUCUCUGGACUGUAACUGACGCUGAGGCACGAAAGCGUGGGGAGCAAACAGGAUUAGAUACCCGGGUAGU
rnacentral:rRNA from 1 species